rnacentral:misc_RNA from 1 species
GAUGAAGAACGCAGCGAAAUGCGAUAAGUAAUGUGAAUUGCAGAAUCCAGUGAAUCAUCGAAUCUUUGAACGCACAUUGCGCCCGCCAGCAUUCUGGCGGGCAUGCCUGUUCGAGCGUCAUUUCAACCCUCGACCUCCCCUUGGGGAGGUCGGCGUUGGGGACCGGCAGCACACCGCCGGCCCUGAAAUGGAGUGGCGGCCCGUCUGCGGCGACCUCUGCGUAGUAAUACAGCUCGCACCGGAACCCCGACGCGGCCACGCCGUAAAACACCCAACUUCUGAACGUUGACCUCGAAUCAGGUAGGACUACCCGCUGAACUUAAGCACAUCAAUAAGCGGAGGA